rfam:Mus musculus chromosome 1, GRC primary reference assembly.
GGAGAGAUGGCUCAGUGGUUAAGAGCAUUAACUGUUCUUCCAGAGGUCCUGAGUUCAAUUCUCAGUCACCACA